rnacentral:rRNA from 1 species
CCUACGGGAGGCUGCAGUGGGGAAUAUUGCACAAUGGGGGAAACCCUGAUGCAGCGACGCCGCGUGAGUGAAGAAGUAUUUCGGUAUGUAAAGCUCUAUCAGCAGGGAAGAAAAAGAUGGUAGCAGAUGAAGAAGCAGCGGCUAACUACGUGCCAGCAGCAGCGGUAAUACGUAGGGGGCAAGCGUUAUCCGGAUUUACUGGGUGUAAAGGGAGCGUAGUCGGCAGCACAAGUCUGGAGUGAAAUGCCGGGGCUUAACCCCGGAACUGCAUUGGAAACUGUGCAGCUAGAGUGCAGGAGAGGUAAGUGGAAUUCCUAGUGUAGCGGUGAAAUGCGUAGAUAUUAGGAGGAACACCAGUGGCGAAGGCGGCUUACUGGACUGUAACUGACGUUGAGGCACGAAAGCGUGGGGAGCGAACAGGAUUAGAUACCCUUGUAGUC